rnacentral:lncRNA from 1 species
GCUCAAGUCCCGGAACCUGCUAUGUGUCCCUAAGAUCGCAGUGCUCACGAUCUGGGGAGAAAGUGCCCCUGCAGACCUGGUGUCCUCUCGACCUCCAGCUGGACGUGAAGCCAGCACUCGGCCCGCACAGAAACAAGGCACCCCUGCCACUGCACCAGAACAGGUCACGUGCCUGAUAAGCCCCGGCAGGCUGUUCUGGGGAUACAGACUAGGCUGGAGGAUUAGGCCAGUGUUCCAGGCAGCUCUGACCUCCGAGCCACCCUACUCGCAUGUCCUGACCCAAAGCGACACAUGAACUCGGAAGCGCACAGCUUCCUCCGGAGCCCCAAACAGGUGGAUACCCAAGAGUCUCAGCUCCUGCCUCCCCACCCCUUCCCCUUCUCCUGACACCCAAGGGACCCUUGUGGACUCUGUAGCUGCAG